rnacentral:misc_RNA from 1 species
AAGGAUCAUUAACAAAAACAUGGCCUAACAGCCUAAAACCUUUGGUUUUACAACCAAAACAACCUUGUGUGCACCGUAAUUGUCUCUCUUUUGGCGGAUUUCAAGUCUGGCUUUGGUGGACUCGUCAUGAUAAAGUUUUAUUAUGAUGAGCACGCAUGAGCUAGUGCCGCCAAAAGGAAAAUUUACAAACUUUUUAAAAUCUUUGUCUGAAGUCUUAAAAUAUUAAUAAAUCAUUAAUUAAUAUACAACUUUUAACAACGGAUCUCUUGGCUCUC